rnacentral:rRNA from 1 species
CGCACGGGUGCGUAACGCGUAUGCAAUCUACCUUUUACAGGGGGAUAGCCCAGAGAAAUUUGGAUUAAUACCCCAUAGUAUGUUAGAGUGGCAUCAUUUUAACAUUAAAGUUCCAACGGUAAAAGAUGAGCAUGCGUCCCAUUAGCUAGAUGGUAAGGUAACGGCUUACCAUGGCGACGAUGGGUAGGGGUCCUGAGAGGGAGAUCCCCCACACUGGUACUGAGACACGGACCAGACUCCUACGGGAGGCAGCAGUGAGGAAUAUUGGACAAUGGGCGCAAGCCUGAUCCAGCCAUGCCGCGUGCAGGAAGACGGUCCUAUGGAUUGUAAACUGCUUUUGUACAGGAAGAAACACUCCCUCGUGAGGGAGCUUGACGGUACUGUAAGAAUAAGGAUCGGCUAACUCCGUGCCAGCAGCCGCGGUAAUACGGAGGAUCCAAGCGUUAUCCGGAAUCAUUGGGUUUAAAGGGUCCGUAGGCGGCUUUAUAAGUCAGUGGUGAAAGCCCAUCGCUCAACGAUGGAACGGCCAUUGAUACUGUAGAGCUUGAAUUAUUAGGAAGUAACUAGAAUAUGUAGUGUAGCGGUGAAAUGCUUAGAGAUUACAUGGAAUACCAAUUGCGAAGGCAGGUUACUACUAAUGGAUUGACGCUGAUGGACGAAAGCGUGGGGAGCGAACAGGAUUAGAUACCCUGGUAGUCCACGCCGUAAACGAUGGAUACUAGCUGUUGGGGGCAACUUCAGUGGCUAAGCGAAAGUGAUAAGUAUCCCACCUGGGGAGUACGUUCGCAAGA